ensembl:lncRNA
GCAUAAGCAAAUUUUUAUAAAUCUUUUUCGAUUUGUUUCUCUCUCUCCCCAUAUAUGUAUGUAUACGUAUGUAUAUAUAUAUACUUAUUUACAUGUGUAGACACUCAUAAAUAUAUACCCACUUGCACAGAAGUGUUUGCAUUAUCAUUUUUUUUUUUUUAUUUGAAAUUCCAUUAGCUAUUUUCAUUAAAUGAUUAAAAAGUUGUUUACAAUGCAAAUAGUUCUAUGCAUAAUGAUAUUUUGCACUACCAAAAAAUUAAAAAUAGAACAACAAAAUUUUGAAUUAAUAUAUGAAUAUCCCCCAAAAUUUAAAAUAAAUAGAAAUACCAAAUUAUAUAUUAAAUCACAUAACCGACUACAUGUUAAAAAAUAUAAAAAACGAAAAAUAAACUUAAACAGCCAAAUUUGUAUAUUUGAUUUGAGUGAAAAACUUAUAAACUAUAAAUUAGCUUUUGAACUACAAAAUUUUUUUCACUAUUGCAAAAUUAUAUUAUGGAAAGAAAAUAAUUUAAAUAUUUUAAACAAUAAAGAGUUAAAUGAAAUUAACAACUUAAAAAAAUAUACCGAACAAAAUGACUUCUGUUUUAUAUUACAACAUCCUCCAUCCUAUACUUUAGGAAGCUCAGCUGAAGAUAAAGAUAUCUUAUUAGAUAAAAAAAAUUAUUAUAUUGAAGAAUUAGAAAAUUUAUAUAAAAAUUAUGAUUUAAAUGAAAUUUCCAAUUUUAUUAAAAAAUAUAAAAAUAUUCAAAAUGAAAUAGAUAACUGUGAAACUUAUGAUGAUAAGAAAGAUUAUUUUAAAUCCUUUACGCAAAAUAUAAGCGAAAAUAACAAAUUACCAAUUUACCGUAUUAACAGAGGAGGUAAAGCGACAUAUCAUGGGCCUGGACAGUUAGUUUUAUAUUUUAUUUUUAAUUUAAAAAACUACUCUUGUAAUUAUCAUAUAAAACGUGACAAAUUAUCCCAACAUAAUUUUAAUAAUCCCAUAAAAGAUGAUAUAUUACAAAAACGUGACUUUUCUUUGUUUAACAAAAAUGAAGAGAAAACUGUUGCUGGAAAUAUAGAAACUAUUUUUGAUUUACACAAAACAAUAAAUAACUUUCAAAAAUUAGGAAUAGAGUGUAUGGAUAAAUUUAAAAUAAAAACUUAUACUAAAGAGGACACUAUAGGUGUCUUUUACAAAGAAAAAAAACUUAUAUCAAUUGGUAUUAAAAUAAGAAAGUACAUAUCUAUGCACGGGAUGUCUUUAAAUUUCAACAUAGAUAAAAAUUUUUUGAAGUAUUUAUUAUCAUGUGGUAUGAGUCAUAGUGAUUAUACCUCAUUACACGAAAUUAAAGAAAUUAAAAAAAACGAUAAAUAUAAAGACAAACAAAAAACUGAUAUACAAAAUUCAUUGCUACAAGAAUUAAAAGCGAACGUUAUACAAUUAAUAACAAAAACUUUUAAUACAAAAGUGAAAAUUACAGAUCAAAUACCCAAAAUUUUCGCCUGAUUUAUACAUAUUUAAUAUUUCUAAAGGGUCAAUAAAAAAUAAACUUUUUUUUUUUUUUUUUUUUUU